rnacentral:tRNA from 1 species
UAUAUUUUAGUGUAUGAAGCACGAUAGUUUUUGAUACUUUUAGAAAUAGUUUAAUUCUAUUAAAUAUAU